UACAGAGGCGGCAAGCGUUGUUCGGAAUUAUUGGGCGUAAAGAGCACGUAGGCGGCCGUGUAAGUCGGUUGUGAAAGCCUUCCGCUCAACGGGAGAACGGCAUCCGAUACUGCAUGGCUUGAGUGCGGGAGGGGAGAGUGGAACUUCUGGUGGAGCGGUGAAAUGCGUAGAUAUCAGAAGGAACACCGGCGGCGAAGGCGACUCUCUGGCCCGUAACUGACGCUGAGUGUGCGAAAGCUAGGGGAGCAAACGGG
rnacentral:rRNA from 1 species